ACUCGUCCUGAACUUUAUCUCUACACCUUAAGUCCGAACAUAAUGGGCAAUGACUGGUUCCUAUAUUUUUUUUAAAGUGGACAUCGUCUAGAAGUUUGGAAAGAAUAGCAUAAUGCUUUAGUCUAAACUUCGAUCGGACGUAAAAGAGAAGAACAGUUGUGAGGAAGGAAAACUAAAAGUUUUGAAAUUAACUGCAAAUAAUUUUGAUAAAACUAACCAGGCCAUUACCUUUUAAAACUAGACAAUAAUUUGGCCCAUCACCGCACUAAACAAAAGUUAGAGAUGGAAGUACAACAUAUGCUUCAUCCAUUUUGUGUUUGUUUACUUUUUGAUUUUCAAUUGUGCGAUGCAAAUUAGCAAUUUAGUUUUAAUACCCUCCAUAAUUUGUACAAGUGCUUACCAAUAGGUUAUAGUGAAUUUUAAACUAGAUGCCUCAAAGGCAUUGAGCAAACCUCCUUAAAACAUCUCUAGCAGACCCCGUAUAAUGCCACAAAUCGCAAAAUAACCAUAAAAUACGGGUCUAUACAAAAAAUGAUGCUCGAUCAUACCUCGCAAACGUGUCCGCCUCGUAAAAAAUUUUGAGCGCGGAAAAAUCCCCUCCCCGACCUGCGAAAACACAGGUUUUCGCCAUGCCUAUACGGUGUCCUGUAUCCCAGGGAAGCGGUUGGCUGGACGGACAUUUCAGCCCGCGCCCUUUCCCCACCCCCUUCUGCCGCCGCCCCGCCAUUGGUUCCGCCAGUCCGCCGCAGGCGAUUCCGCCAAAUAUUGGGGGUGAAUCGCGCCGCUGGGGCGCCCGUGCCCUCUUCCGCCGAGCCAUUGCACCGGCUCCCCCGGAUUCAUCAAUCCACCGCAGCCGGUGAGCCACCGCCAGAGAUGGAGUUGAGCCUGUGCGAGAAGUUUCUGCUCGACGAUUCAUCCGAUUCGGAUGACUCGGAUGUUGAGACGAUGAUUCUCACAUUUCGCCAUCAGAGUUUGGUGAUGGCCCUUGCCGUGAAGGAGCACGAAGACGAGAACCGGAAGAGGCGGUGAGGAUCGAUCGUCGGACGUCUUUGCAUUCCUCGAAAUCGCCAUCUCGGGAACGAGAUGAUGAUGCAAGACUACUUCGCCGCCAAUCCAACAUACCCACCGCACCUCUUUCGGAGAAGGUUUGAAGGGAUUUACUGCAUAUAAAAAAAUCUCGGCAGCUAUGCGGGUAAUUUCAUACGGCGUUCCGGCUGACUAUAUCAAUGAAUAUCUUCGCAUUGGGAAAGAUAGUACAAUUGAAUUAGCGUGUAGGUUUGCCAAAGUGAUCGUCCGUGUCUUUGGUCCUGAAUAUCUUGGGGGCACCGAACGACAAAGACAGAAAAAAAUUAAUGGCAUUUAAUGGCAUAAGAGGUUGGUCCGGCAUGCUAGGAAACAUAAAUUGUAUGCAUUAGACUUGAAAAAAUUGCCCAAAACCAUGGCAGGAAAUGUAUUGUCACAAGUCUGGUGAUGCAACAAUUGUGCUAGAGACCGUAGCUUCACAUGAUUUAUGGAUUUGUCAUUGCUUUUUUGGCAUGCCGGGUACUCUCAAUGA